UACAGAGGGUGCAAACGUUGUUCGGAAUUACUGGGCAUAAAGCGCGCGUAGGCGGCGAUGUAAGUGUAGGGUGAAAUCCCACGGCUUACCCGCGUGGAUUGCCCCGCAUACUGCAUGGCUCGAGUGUGGUAGGGGAGAGCGGAACUCCUGGUGGAGCGGUGAAAUGCGUAGAUAUCAGGAGGAACACCGGUGGCGAAGGCGGCUCUCUGGUCCACAACUGACGCUGAAGUGCGAAAGCUAGGGUAGCGAA
rnacentral:rRNA from 1 species